rnacentral:rRNA from 1 species
GCUUAACGCGAAGAACCUUACCAGGCCUUGACAUGCAGAGAACUUUCCAGAGAUGGAUUGGUGCCUUCGGGAACUCUGACACAGGUGCUGCAUGGCUGUCGUCAGCUCGUGUCGUGAGAUGUUGGGUUAAGUCCCGCAACGAGCGCAACCCUUGUUGUUAGUUGCCAGCAUUAAGUUGGGCACUCUAACAAGACUGCCGACCUUUAAGUCGGAGGAAGGUGGGGAUGACGUCAAGUCCUCAUGGCCCUUACGUCCAGGGCUACACACGUGCUACAAUGACCGGUACAAAGGGUUGCCAAACCGCGAGGUGGAGCCAAUCCCAAAGAGCCGGCCUCAGUACGGAUAAGAGUCUGCAACUCGACUCUUUGAAGGCGGAAUCGCUAGUAAUCCCUGAUCAGCAUAGCAGGGGGUGAAUACGUUCCC